UGUAAACCCAACUGUCCUGGAUCAAUUGAGGACUAUUGACCGCAUCAUUUAUGCUAUGGGAUCCCUUUUUACUUCCAUCUGCCCAUCUCUGGUUUUACUUGGCAUUGGGGAGAUCAUCGCUUCAAGGUCUUGCCCCAAGGUACUUUUGUUGAAUGGUAUUCAUGACCGAGAAACUAGCGGCUUUUCUGUUGCUUGCUUUGUAAGUGCCAUUGCAGAUGCUCU